rnacentral:rRNA from 1 species
UGAUAUUCCUGUACUACCGAUAACCGUUUGAGAGAAGGGAUGACACAGUAGGAUAAGCUAAGCACACUGUUGGUUAUGUGUGCCCAAGCAUUGAGGCGGUCAAAGUAGGCAAAUCCGCUUUGAUAAUGCUGGGAUGUGAUGGGGAGCGAAAUUUAGUAGCGAAGUAGCUGAUUUCACACUGUCAAGAAAAGUCUCUAUCGAGGUUAAAGGUACCCGUACCGCAAACCGACACAGGUGGGUGAGGAGAGUAUCCUAAGGCCAGCGAGAGAACUGUUGUUAAG